UCCAUCACAUCACAGAAGGGGACCUGGGGUGUCUCCCCAGGGCAGGAGAGAUGACAUCUGAGGAUGGGCAUACUGCUGUCACUUAUAGAGGGGACCCAGCCUCGCUCUGUUUUCCUGUGUAUCGUCCUGGGUCUGGCCAGGUUGACUGGCCUGGAAGUGACUUGACCCAGAUGGACCCCACAGGAGUCGGAGAGAUCAACAGAAGUCCCAGGAGGCCCUAACUGCCCAGGCAGGAGAGCUCAGUGGUCCCCCGGAAGCACAAUGAAAAGAAAAGAUAGAUUGUGACAAGUUUGAGACAAAGAGAGGACAAAAAUCCUAAAUCCUUCCUGCAAGGACUCUUCCUGAGAGCCCAAACACGAAGACCAAAGCUCACUCUAUCACCACUCCUAGGAGCUGCCAUCACUGAGCACUUACUACAGACCAAACACAGCUUCACACAUGCCGUCCCAUUUAUCGUCACUGUGACCCUGGGAGGGAGGAGUGAUUAUUCUCAACCUGGAGAAGAGAUAUGGAAACUCGGAGAGCUUAGCAUCUGGCUCAAGAUCACAAAACUUGAGGCCAGGGCUGUCCCUCCUCAAAGCCUGUGUUUGUAACUCUGCCAGCCUAGCAGCUGAGCACAAUCAUUACUCAGAGCUUCCUGGGUCGGUGAUGGGUGUGGGCUGCUUGAAGAAUUCCUCACUCCCAUUGCAUCAAGAACCACCUAAGCCAGUCCCACCAGCUGCACACCCCAACGGUUAGCCUUUGAUGGGGGUCAGCAAACUGGUCCACGGGCCAAAUCAGCUCUGCUACCUGAUUUUAUGAAGUCGUACUGGAAUACACCUAUGCCGGUUCAUUUACCUGUUGUCUGCUCGUAUGUCUGCUUUCACGCUCCAUGGGCCAGCCUGCGUCAUUGCCACAGAGUCCACACGGCCCGUGAUGCCUGCAGUAUUAACUCUCUGGCCCUUUACCGAGAAGUGUCGACCCUGGCCUUUGAGGAAACCACAGGUUUGCCAGUGUCUGCAGAGCUCAGCUGAAGAUGGUGCAGAGGGUGACGUGC